UGGGUAACCUGCCUCAAAGAGGGGAAUAGCCUCCCGAAAGGGAGAUUAAUACCGCAUAAUAUGUUUUAGUCGCAUGACUUAAACAUCAAAGGAUUUUCUUUUAGUAAUUCCACUUUGAGAUGGACCCGCGGCGCAUUAGCUAGUUGGUGAGGUAAUGGCUUACCAAGGCGACGACGGGUAGCCGGCCUGAGAGGGCGACCGGCCACACUGGGACUGAGACACGGCCCAGACUCCUACGGGAGCAGCAGG
rnacentral:rRNA from 1 species